CUUGGUCAUUUAGAGGAAGUAAAAGUCGUAACAAGGUCUCCGUUGGUGAACCAGCGGAGGGAUCAUUACAGAGUUGCAAAACUCCCUAAACCAUCGCGAACGAACCCCUGAACAGUUGCUUCGGCAGGCCGGUCCGCCCCCGGGCGGCCCGACCCCGCCUGCCGGAGGUACCCAAACCAUUUGUCUUUAGCAGGCCUCUCUGAGUUACUUACUUAAAUAAGUCAAAACUUUCAACAACGGAUCUCUUGGUUCUGGCAUCGAUGAAGAACGCAGC
rnacentral:rRNA from 1 species